rnacentral:sRNA from 1 species
UUUUUAUAAAACUGAAGCCCAUCUUCCUCUAUAAAACAUAACCAACUCCUUCUGAUUAAACCGAGAUUAGAACUAAACGGAUAUUAAAACAACAAAGAUUAAUGACUAAAUCGAGAUUUCUCUCUCACCCUUUUUUUU